UUGCUUCCGCAGCAUAUAUACCAAAAUUGGAAUAACACAGAGAUUAACAUCAUCUCUUGAAAGGAUAACAUGAAAAUUUGUGAAAUGUUUCAUAUUUUA
rnacentral:snRNA from 1 species